UACGUAGGGGGCAAGCGUUGUCCGGAUUUAUUGGGCGUAAAGAGCGUGUAGGCGGCUAGGUAGGUCCGUUGUGAAAACUCGAGGCUCAACCUCGAGACGCCGGUGGAAACCAUCUAGCUAGAGUCCGGAAGAGGAAAGCGGAAUUCCUGGUGUAGCGGUGAAAUGCGUAGAUAUCAGGAGGAACACCUGCGGUGUAGACGGCUUUCUGGACCAUUGCUGACGCUGAGACACGAAAGCGUGGGUAGCAAACAGG
rnacentral:rRNA from 1 species